rnacentral:rRNA from 1 species
UACGUAGGGGGCUAGCGUUGUCCGGAUUUAUUGGGUCGUAAAGAGCUCGUAGGUGGUUCGGUAAGUCGGAUGAUGAAAUCUCCAGGCUCAACCCUGGAGGGGUCAUUCGAUACUGCCCGUGACUAGAGUUCGGUAGAGGAGUGUGGAAUUCCUGGUGGAGCGGUGAAAUGCGCAGAGAUCAGGAGGACACCCGUAGCGAAGGCGGCACUCUGGGCCGAUACUGACACUGAGGAGCGAAAGCGUGGGAGCGAACAGG